UACGGAGGGGGCUAGCGUUGUUCGGAAUUACUGGGCGUAAAGCGCGCGUAGGCGGACUGUUAAGUCGGGGGUGAAAUCCCGGGGCUCAACCCCGGAACGGCCUUCGAUACUGGCAGUCUGGAGGACGGAAGAGGUCAGUGGAAUGGCGAGUGUAGAGGUGAAAUUCGUAGAUAUUCGCCGGAACACCAGUGGCGAAGGCGACUGACUGGUCCGUUUCUGACGCUGAGGCGCGAAAGCGUGGGGAGCAAACAGG
rnacentral:rRNA from 1 species